UUCUGUGGGUAAGCCAGUCCUGGUUCCACAAAGCAAGGUCUCCUUCGAUCCCCUGCCUCCUUACUUUCUGAAGGAGCCUGGCAUAGGGAACCUUAUCUAAUGCCUUACUGAAAUCCAUACACACUACAUCCACUGCUCUACCUUCAUCAAUGUGCUUUGCUACUUCCUCAAAUAUUUCAAUCAGGCUCGUAAGGCAUGACCUGCCCUUGACAAGGCCAUGCUGACUACCCCUAAUCAGAUUACAUCUCUCCAAAUGCUUAUAAACCCUGCCUCUCAGGAUCUUCAACAACUUUCCCAGCUCACUGGUCAAUAAUUUCUUGGGUUAUAGACUCCUUUUCUUGAACAAGAGAACAAAAUUUGCAACUCGGCAAUCCUUCGGUUCUUCUCCAUCCCAAUUGAUGACACAAAAAUCAUUACAAGGUGCUCAGCAAUCUCCUGUCCCGAUUCCCACAGUAGCCUGGGGUAUAUCACAUCCGGUCCCGGUGACUUAAUGUUUUUCAAAACAUCCAGCACAUCCUCUUUCUCAAUGUCUAUAUGCUUAAGCAUUUCAGUCCACUGUAAGUAAUCCCCACAAUUGUCAAUGUCUUUUUCCCUGGUGAAUACUGAAGCACCAAGUACACAUUAAUACCUCUGCAACCUUCUCCGACCCCAUGCACACGUUUCCCUAUCACACCUGAUUGGUCCUAUUCUCACAUAGCUCAUUCUCUUGCUCUUCACAUACUUCUGGAAUGCUUUGAGGAUUUCCUUAAUCGUGCUCACCAAGGCCUUCUCGUGGCCCCUUCUGGCUCUCCUCAUUCCAUUCUUAAGCUCCAUCCUAGCAAACUUGUAAUUUCCUAGAGCUCUAGUAGUACCUAGUUUCUUGAACUUUUCACAAGCUUUUCUUUUCUCCUUAACUAGAUCUUCUGAUUCCUUUGUACACCAUGGUUCUUUAACCCUACCAUCCUUUCCUUGCCUUAAUGGAAAAUAGCUAUGCAGAUCUCCAUGCAAAUGUUACUGACAGGAGCUUCCUGUGACGCUGUGAACAAACUCGGCCCUUCCAUGGGACUGAAAUCUGCAGCUGACGGAGGCGGUCCGUCAAUCGGCAGGACCGGCUCUCAUCGGCCGAGGAGUGAGCCCGCCCAGUGGGCCGUCCAUUGCCACCGGGAGCGAAUGGGUCCGAUCCGGGCACAGGCCGCAAAUCGGCAGCUGCACCUUGGGAACCGCUGCAAUACCGACCAGGGCUGCGAAUCUUUUCCGUGGUGGAGAUGCUGCCUGGCCUGCUGAAUUCCUCCAGCAUUUUGUGUGUGCUGCAAAGAGGCCAGGCAGCGUUUGAAUGAAGAUGUCAUGGACGUGGAACGCAAACUCUGUGUCUCUCUUCGUGGAUCCUGACUGACCUGUUAUUGUUGUUCCUGCAUUUCCUGGGGAUAAAACGGGUCGAAAACAGAAUAACUGAUUCCACGUGGGCACCCGUUGUGAUCUUGUCUCAUAAAUUAGAAGAACCGCUCCUCAUGUUCCACUGGGGCAGCCUGAAACCUGCCGGCAUGAACAUUGAAUUCUCUGUCUUUCGGUAGUUGCUCCUCCUCUGUCACUUUUCCUUUUAAUUUUCUCUCUUCAUGAUCCAUCAGCCUCCAUCACUCUCUCUCUUUCCCCUCCUCCCCACCCUCUCCAUCUGCCCAUCCCCCACACGCUGUUCCCCCUCCCUCCCUUUAUUCCAGACUCCACCUUCCUCUCCUACCAGAUUCCAUCAUCUUUGUCACUGCCACCUCUCACCUCCCGGCUUCUGACACAUUCCCACACUCCACCCCUCCCUCAUCUGCCAGCUCUUCCUCCACCUUUCUGUACCGACCAUCUCCCCUCUUUCAGCCGAGAUGAAGGGUCUCGACCCGAAAUGGUAACUGUUCAUUUCCCAUUCCCAUACUGCCUGCCUCGCUGAGAAUCUCCGGCGCUUUGUGUGUUUCCAGCGUUGCCUGGCCAUUCCCUAACAUUCACCUUGACCUUCCCAGUCAGCACCACCACCGCUUGUCCAACUUAACCCGUCGCAUUGAAGGUGGACUUUAGGACCCGGGCAGCUCACAACCUGUAGCCCGCGGCUGCUACUGAAUACGCAGUAUUUCUGUUCCGUUGGUGGAUGCAGUGAACACAUUAAA